GACGAACGCUGGCGGCGUGCUUAACACAUGCAAGUCGAACGGUAAGGCCCUUCGGGGUACACGAGUGGCGAACGGGUGAGUAACACGUGGGUGAUCUGCCCUGCACUUCGGGAUAAGCCUGGGAAACUGGGUCUAAUACCGGAUAGGACCCUGGGAUGCAUGUCCUGGGGUGGAAAGCUUUUGCGGUGUGGGAUGGGCCCGCGGCCUAUCAGCUUGUUGGUGGGGUGAUGGCCUACCAAGGCGACGGCGGGUAGCCGGCAUGAGAGGAUGACCGGCCACACUGGGACUGGGAUACGGCCCAGACUCCUGCGGGAGGCAGCAGUGGGGAAUAUUGCACGAUGGGCGCAAGCCUGAUGCAGCGACGCCGCGUGAGGGAUGACGGCCUUCGGGUUGUAAACCUCUUUCAGCACCGACGAAGCGCAAGUGACGGUAGGUGCAGAAGAAGGACCGGCCAACUACGUGCCAGCCGCCGCGGUAA
rnacentral:rRNA from 1 species